rnacentral:lncRNA from 1 species
AAGAAUGGGAUAAAGAGUUGGCUUACAAUCGCCACUUCACACAAUACAUGAAUAAAGUCAUACAUCAUUCAAGAUACACACAUAGGUCCGACUACGGAACCAAAAUAAAAGAAGACAACCCCAAAUGCUAGAUCCCCGAUCGUCCCAACUGGGCUCCACUACUGAUCAACAGGAAAAGAAACAAUGUAACGACCAAGUUCCUCGUCGAACUCCCACUUGAGCUCGGUUGCGUCAUCUGCACUGGUAUCGUCGGCACCUGCAACUGUUUUGGAAGUAUCUGUGAGUCACGAGGACUCGGCAAUCUCACACCCGCGAGAUCAAGACUAUUUAAGCUUAAGGGUCGGAAAGGGUAAGGUGGUGAGGUUGCAGCAGCGACUAAGCAUAUAUUGUGGCUAACAUACGCAAAUAAGAGCGAGAAGAGGAGCAACCGAACGGUCGUCAGCUAGUAAUGAUCUAGAAGUGAUCCCGAACUCCUACUUACGUCAAACAUAACACAAGAACCGUGUUCACUUCCCGGACUCCGCCGAAAAGAGACCAUCACGGCUACACACGCGGUUGAUGCGUUUUAAUUAGGGUCAAGUGUCAAGUUCUCUACAACCGGAUAUUAACAAAUUCCCAUCUGCCACAUAAUUCGCGGGCGCGGCUCUCGAAAGUUUAAACCCUGCAGGGGUGUCCCAACUUAGCCCAUUAUAAGCUCUCACGGUCAACGAAGGAUAAACCUUCUCCCAGGAAGACCCGAUCAGUCUCGGAAUCCCGGUUUACAAGACAUUUCGACAAUGGUAAAACAAGACCAGCAAAGCCGCCCGAUGUGCUGACAAAUCCCGAUAGGAGCUGCACAUAUCUCAUUCUCAGGGCACACCGGAGGAGCAAGACGUCGGGUUGGCAUAGACCCUGGUUGCCCAGGGGGCGCCGGACAUCGCUCAGUUUGGACCAGCACUCGAAGGAGCACUGGCCCGGGGGGGGGGGGUAAAUAAAGAUGACCCUUGAGUCUACAAAACCCAAAGGAAAAAGGCUUAGGUAGGCAAAUGGUAAAACCAAGGUUGGGCCUUGCUGGAGGAGUUUUAUUCAAAGCGAACUGUCAAGGGGGUCCCAUAAAUCACCCAACCGCGUAAGGAACGCAAAAUCAAGGAACAUAACACCGGUAUGACGGAAACUAGGGCGGCCAGAGUGGAACAAAACACCAGGCAUAAGGCCGAGCCUUCCACCCUUUACCAAGUAUAUAGAUGCAUUAAUAAUAUAAGAGAUAUUGUGAUAUCCCAACAUAUCCAUGUUCCAACAUGGAACAAACUUCAUCUUCACCUGCAACUAACAACGCUAUAAGAGGGGCUGAGCAAAAGUGGUAACAUAGCCAAACAACGGUUUGCUAGGAAGGGUGACAAAGGUUAGAGGUUCAUGGCAAUUUGGGAGGCUUGAUAUAGCAAGUGGUAGGUAACGCGGCAUAGCAAUAGAGCGAACAACUAGCAAGCAAAGAUAGAAGUGAUUUCGAGGGUAUGGUCAUCUUGCCUGAGAUCCCGCUAGGAAGAUGAACGAGUCCAUGAAGAAGACGAACGGACGUAGUCGAACGAAUCCUCACAACUCCGGAACGAAACCGAAGGAAACGAGAGAAGCAACCCGGAAGAAGCAAACAAAAUAGUAAACAACCAUCACAUAAACAUGGCAUGAUGCACAAUCAAGUAUGAUGCAUGUCCGAUUUAAUGAGCAUGGCAUGGCAAAGUGCAACAAACAACACAACAAAUUAAGUGGAGCUCAAUAUGCAACGAGUUGCAUAUUGAAGAAACACCACAUCAAUUGUUUAGUUCUCUCGGUUAUGUACCCAACAAUAUUAAAUGUUAUUAAGCAUGGCAAGAGGUGAGGCAUAUGACGACUACCUAGCUAGGCAAGUUUAAAUGAGGCCGGAACAACAAACAACAAUUCCGGAAAAUCCCCAUUUGCAUAUUUUAGAUUUGGUACUGUUCUGCCAUAAAUGCAAUUUUAAUGUUUUUAAACAGCAAAAUGAAGUGCACCAUGUUAAACUAGGCAUUUUUCUACCCCAUUUACAUAUAAAGUUUAUUAAAAUCCGAGUUACGGUUAUUUAGUUAUGAAAUAAAUCAUUUUAACAUGGCAUUUAGCAAAUUUAACCAAACAGCAAUUUAAACAUUUUAAACAUGGAUGGAAGUUGCAUAUUAUGAACCUAGAUGAAAUUCUGAGCAUUUUACAUGUUUAAAUCAUUUUAAUCCGAUGCACGGUUAAAGAGUUAUUAUAUGCACGAACACUAGGGGUUCUUCUGUAAAACAGCAAUUCACUGGAUAAUUAGACAAAUCGUUCGCAGGAAAAAAACAGUGACUCGGGCCAAAACUGAGAGGGGCUGGGGAGUUGGUCACAUCGGGCUGAAACUGGCUGGGCCCAUAGGAGCAGGGGCACUGGAGGCUCACCAUGGGCCUUGGCCCAUGGGUGGAGCUGGCUGCAGGCCUGGCCGCUCGGGCUGAUGAAGUGGG